GUCUUUUUCUCUGAAUUCAUUAGCCGACCAGAUGGAAAGUGGUUUGAAGCACCAUGCUGAAAAUCCAAAAAUAGCUUUCGACUCAAGAAUUACAUCUGUAAUAGACAUACUUUUAUCCAUUGAAAA
rnacentral:ribozyme from 1 species